AGUUUACAGAAAAUUGAAUCGAGGUUUCCUCAUUGAAUCCUAAGACUCAAAGCAGACAACAUGACAGGACACAUAUAACUAACACAGGCUUUAAACAGGUGGAGGCGUGAAUGGAGUACUAUUCACGACAUUCUAAAGCUACUGGAGCACGGGACACGUGUCUGUACGCUCCUCUCACACCCCUUACUCGGCAGCUGCCCCACUCCCGCCGUUGCCGUUGCCCUGAGUCUUCCCCACUGUUCUGCUGUGCCAGUGUGAGCAUCUCCCCGGCACUCAAGUCCAUGUUCUCUCCCUCCCGCUCUUCCUCCUGUCUCUUCCAUGCUCCCUGUUGCACGGGACAUCAUGUGGGCUUGAUGCCGUACACAGUCCCUGACCAUGGCCCCCUACUCUUCUCCAGAAGUGUCACACUAGACAGGAGCUGCUGAGUCACCAACUCACCUUUCCCUAGAAUGUGGGUUUGUUUUUUCUCCCCCAUCACUUGCAGAGGUCUUUUUUCAAUUAUAUGAUCAAGAAUGAGUCUACAAGAAUACCAGCACCAGACAUAGUGCCAAAUGGCCUUUUGUAAGCUGUUUCGUGCCCUUGAGGCUCGCACUUGUGCUGGGUGAGCCCAGGACCGUUAGCCUUUUCUUUUCUAGGUCUGGACACUCCGGGGUUGGUUAGGCUAGCCACUGGGGAGAAUACAGCUCUGGCCUUUUUUCAUAUUUUGCUGCUUCUCUUUGUACAGAUCUUUCCCCCUCCACAUACCAAAAGGAAUCCUAACCUAGUUGAAAUGCUAGUUGCAAUUCAGUUUCAUGAGAAUGCUGAAGUAGGCUGCUGAUUUAAAAUUUUCCUCUUCCCUGAAAAUACACACACCUAGAGAAUUUAGGGAAAGGCUCUUAGGGCUUGGGAAUCUUAUCUUUUCAUUCCCCACAAAAUACCUACAAAGAAAUGUCUAGUAUUCCCUCAGUAUUCCUCCUCGUAUAGGCUCUGAAAGCAACCUCAUUCCCACCCAGCCCUUGCACACCGGCAUUCAAGAUCCAUGCAUGCAGUUGUUGAAACUGUUUUCUUUGGGAUCCUAUCUUUAUGACAACUGGAAUGAUUGUAGAUUUAUGACCUCAAAGAGUAGAGCAUUCCUUUUCCUAUUUUCCCAGCUGCUAAAAUAUGACUGUCUCCAUUAGAAUUUAGAAUCCGUCUUAAGCUUAGAGAUGGUAAGAGCUGACUGGAUGAGUCUAAUUCUAUGAUUUGUGAGACAUGCAUUAAAACCGUCAGCAGAACAUUCUGAUGAUCCACCUACACUCAAAGAAAACACAAUUAACACCACAGUUAAAACCUUCUAAUGGAGCCCCUGUCUUAGGGAUCAAGGUAUUAGAGGUGCUGCUUCAGGGAUGGUGCUACUUCAAAAGAACUGAAGUUGGAGAGACACCUCCCUUCCCAAAUGCUUCUGCAGGCCACUCUGGUGAUUCAGAAAACCCCAACCAUAUAUUCCUUUACCAGCAGCGCCCACCCUUUUCCGUAACUCAGCUUACCAAAAUCAGUGAAAAUUGAGACAGUGCUUACCCAUGAAAUAUGUGGUUUUUGAACAAAAACCCCAGAAGUUAGUUAUUCUUAUAGGAAACUAAAGAUGCCACCAUUGUAAAUCAUAAUACUACAGAGACAAAUGCACAGGUCUCCCAACCACCUCAAAGUCAAUACAGCCCAUGUUUUCUGAGCACGUACUGUGUGCUGGGCACCGUGCUGGACAUGUGUGCUGCCUCAUGACCCGACACCAAGCAAGUCACCUUGCCCUUGGCAAGGCAAGUCUCCCCUCAUUUCUUUCAUUUCAGUAGGACGUUCAUCUUCAAAGAACAGACCACAUAGGAUGGUCUGCCCUCUCUGAACACUAACCUGGUUUGCUUUCUCACGCAGCAGUGCCAGGUAGCCUCCCAGGCGCACUGUGGCAUCGCCCCCGCCUCUGUGAGCUGAACUCCCUCCGUGAGGGUCUGGACGUGAGGGCCCCUCCAGAGUCUUCCUCCCUGGUCAGUGAUGAUGACAGGAGUGCAGGGAGGUGCCGCAGUGGUUGACAGGGUGGGAAGCCUGUGUGGCCGAGGGGAACUUGAACUCCGGCACCCCUUGCCUGCAGUUAGCCAAGGCAGAGACCAGGAAACCCUCUUGCACUUCCCAUCUUCUCUCUCCAGCUCUUGUAGCGCUACCCUGGCCGUUCCUUCGGGGCUCCUGCUGUGUUCAGGAGCAUCUUGCUCAGCUGGCCCCUCCUCCUCUCUAGAAACCGGGGGUCUGGGGUUCUGGAAUUAGAUCAGUGUCUGCUCUGCCUCAGGCCUCCCUGCCUCCUCAUGGGCCCUGACUGCCAAGAAAUAACAGUUGCUGGAGACAUAUCUUGAUUUGGGGUCAGCGUAAGAACUUUCUAGAACCCAGAAUCCAGCAAAGGCAUGAGCUCCUUUGAGGUAGAGGUCUGGUUCCUGUCCUGCCACAUUUCACGUGGAACUGUGGUAACUUGUCAGGGACAUUGAACAAGGGACAUGGGUACCAAGCUGACCUGAGGACUCAGCUAACUAAAGUUCCACAUUUCUUCCCUCCUUCCCUUGUCUACCUCUUUUCCGUCAAACGUAAGUGGUCCUCUAGGGGUUGGCUCUCUCAUGGUCUUUCUCUUCUGAUCUGCUCUGCCCCGUCGUGGGCAUCUUGGAACCACCUCAGAAGCAAGGCCACAGCUGUGGACUGGUCCUCGUGAGAGUCUCCCUGGAUCCUCUGUACCUGUAAUAGGUACACAGUUACGUUAUUAUCCAACCUCCAAUCCCCAAAAAGCCUCCUUAAUUUGAAAGAGAAAAGGUAUAUGUGCCUUGCAUUUUGUUAUCGGUCCAGAUUUUGCAUCUGGUGGUGGCUGGGGUGCCAUUGGGAUUUUGGAAUGGGAGCAGUUUGAUUCCUCCCUCGGAAGGAACUCAUGGCUCUCACAAACCAGUGUCUGUGGCAGUGACAAGUCACAGAAUUUGUGUUUCAAGGCUUAUUCCUUCUUCCCUUUAAGACUUUUUCAACUUCCUGUCACUUCGGGCUGAGUCUCAAUUUCAGUCAUGUUUUGUGGCUUCCUUUGAGCACAGAAACCUCUCCUUUUCUUCCGUUACUGGAACUAAGAUCCCAGCGUAAACUCGUGAGAGUCAUUUUUCCACGUCAUCAUUCGUUGGAGCUAUUAAGCCCGAACACAGAAUGACAUUAGUGUUAUACUAAUGUAAGCAGCAGCCACUCUGGUGAUGUUGCAUUGAACUCUUUUGUUCUUAAACCAGAUUCACGGCGGGCAGGCACAGAGUUAGAAGAGUGGGCUGCAGGAAGACACGUGCUCAGCGGUGGCUGCUUUCAAGCAGCAUUGUUUUUUGCCUUGAAAACCACAUUUCAUUAUGUUAGAAUCGGUGAUCCCCUUAAUACUGCAUCUCUGAAAAUGGGCACCAUGAAACCAAAACCAAAGUUCUGGAUGUGGGGGAGUGGAGCUUUUCUUUCGAAGCACUGGGAGCUUGGGCAGGGCGUCCCGACUGCCCCUCAGUUUUGCCGGAGCACUCGGAAGGGCCUCCUCUUUUCCUAGUAGUUGCCUCAUGGUGACUCUAGAAAGCAAGUGUGUGCAGCCUGUGCCUCCCCGACCCAUGGCGGGCGUCUAGAUCAGGCCCUAGGAGCCUCCCCAUCCCUGCCUCUUCUAGCCACUUCCCGGGGGGCUGUAGAGCACGGUCACAGGAAGGCCUCUGCUGGGCCGAGUCUGCGGUCCCUGAGCCAUCACAGCACUGGCGUCUUCAGACACACCCUGGCUGCAAGGCAGGACACUCCCCCUGCCGAGAGACACCAUGUGCGUCAUCAUUGCCUCCCCUGGAAGAGCCCACAGCCUUCUAUGAUCUCCCCCCCGGGCUCGCCCUGCCUUCCACGGCCAUGGUCACGUUGGGUAUGCAGUACUUUUCAAGGAUAAAUUUUUGUUUAUGUUUUUUAAGUGCCUAAGCAAGAUACAGACCUCUGGAACCUGCCAGAGAGUCGGCCUAUGCCCUGUCCCCAUCCCUCCCCACCCUGCACUGGCCCUUGAGGGUGGGCACAGGGCGGCUGCCCCUCUCCAGUGUCCCUGGCGUUCUGCAGGCAGAACAAGGCAAGGACAAGCUAGCGGGAGAGAUCGCUUCACAGCCAUAUCAGGCUGGCUUCGUCACUGUUUUCCAGCGUUUCUUUCUUUAGGGCCGUUUCUGUUUAUGUGGUUUGGUCUUGGUUCAUAGAGAAUUUAAGAGUCUGCUUAGGGAAAUCUCAGUAGCCACUAAGAAGACAGGAGAGCAAGACAGCCUCAGAGCAGCAUUCCAGCUCUGGCUUUGGUAGGAGUUGGAAAUGUGUCCACAUCCAAGAGGGCGAAGCGUCGAAUCAUCCUAGCUCAUGAGCCUGCUGACUCACCUGCCAGCGUGAGCCACCGGAGCCCCAGCUGCCUUUCCGAGCCCUCUCUGCCUAGACUAGAGGGAUCAGGGUGUCUGCUCGGGAGGGCUUGGGAAAGCCAGCAAUCAGGCGUUCAGAUCCCAAGUGUGUCUUUGGAAAUGAGUGUGAGAGUAUUUGUUUCUUUUUUAAAAAAUAAUUUAAGUCUGACCUAAAUACGGGGCCUUUAUUCUGUGAUGGGUGUACGACAGAUUAUUUUGUGACUGCAGUCUGUUCAAAUCACAUCACUAAGCAGCGCUGAGAUGAUUUGUUGGUGCAUUAAAAGGUUUUGCAUCAUGGAACAAUCCAUACCCAGGCACUUUAUUUUCAUUAAUAAUCCAGCAUUUUUGUUCAGACAAUGUAAUAACCCAAACACUGGGUAUUCAUAUUUGACACAUGGGCAAACUUGCCAGUGGAAUGGAAUUGUGACCUGACAGAGAAGGGAAGGCAGGCUGACGAAGGUGAUCGAAUGGGAGAACAGUGCUGUGGUGAUCAUGAGAAUGAGGCUUUUCUGUAGCAUGUAAACCAAACCGGACCCUUGGCAGUUCGUCGUCCCUCAGUUCUCCAGAUGCUAUUUUUUGCAGGUUCUACCAAGUGCUUGUUGAUUACCCUAGUUGUAAUUAUCUAGGGAAGAGAUGAAUGUAAGUGAGAGUGCAGAGCACUGGGGAGGGUGACAGUGAAAUGCAAUUAGAGGCAGCAAGAGAGUCCUAGUCUGUUCUCACAUAACCGGACUUGAACGCUCCAGUGCGAGCAGAGUGCUGGGGGUGGAUUCCACUGCCGAACCACGGCAGCUUUGCUUUACUCUUCAGCAUGGGGGUGGUAACUAGCUGCACAGCAAGUUAUGAAAUGGAAAGCAAGCUUAACAGCUGUAAUCUCAUCGGAUACCCUGGAGCAAAUGCCUUGGGAUUGCCUGAAGUGAAGUGUUUAGCAUCCACCAAAUAGUUGAGUUUCUAAGAUGGGCCAUGCGGGAUCCCUGCCACACGGGUGUGGGGGCAGCGCGCUCCUCCCUGCCUCGGCUGCUGUGUGUGUUAGUCUUCAUGUUUCCCCUUGGCGUCUCCUCUGGUCCCUGUCCAUCUUGUGCACCAUGUGUCCCUGAGGGCGAGUCACACCUGUGUCUUGAGUCUGCUGUAAGGUGUUCAGUCUACCUCAAGGGGUCAUCAUGGUAAGCUCUAUCCCACGGCAUCCUCCGUCCAUCACCACACACACUGGAAUGUAUCCCCCCCGCCCUGCCCCUUCGAUAACCUCCUGACCUUGUCUUUCCUAUAAUCACCACAAACUCCUAGUGCAAAUUGGAUGCUGCUUUAAAUGUGAAAACAAUUGUUCAAAAGCUAUAAAACCUGAAUGAAAGCUGAAGCUGAAUUUAUAAGCCUUGUUGCAUAUGAGCCAAAAGUGCAAAAAGCUCUAUAUAAUGAACUAACCUGCCACUCGUAUAAAUAUAAAUAUAUAUAAAUAUAUUAAAAUCAGACUGUUCUACAAAAUUGUGUAUUUGUAUUUUUGUGUACGUACAAUUUUCUGCUAAGCAGAAGGAGGAUGUAGUAUAGGAUGCUGUGAGAAGAGAUUUGGUUUAAUCCUAUUUCUUUGUUACUUAUUUUUGUUAACAUCAGAUGCCUGUCUUUGUCUUAUAUGUGUAUGACACUGUUUGGAAAGCUGCAGUAUCUCUCUUCCUGAGGUCCAGAGGCCAUUAAAGAAUAAACAUGGGGCUUAGAGGUGUCUUGGCCACCAAACACAGCCCCAGUUACCUGGAGCUUCUCAGAACCCACUUUGCCGGUGCUAAAACACAAGAGGGGGUGAAAGUGGCUGCCAGUAAUGGCCAGAAACCAACCACCAGAGGCCAGGCUGAAAGACAAGCUCCGGGUGUCCAGGGGCUGACGGGCCAACCAUGUGGCAGGUCCCAGGCCCCACCCACUGCGCCAUCCGCCUCUGAGCUCCACAGUGGUCCCACUAAUGGGAACCUCCUCUAGGGAGAGUGAUACUGCACCUUCACCCGUAGGACUCAUAUUUAUAACAAUGUGUAAUGGCUGUAGCAAAAAGCCCUUGUUUCUAGAUGUAAAUGGUCAAAGAAACAAGCGCUCUAUUGUUUUGAAUAAAAUAGUUCAAAUGAGUCCUGUAUCAUUGUAUCUCCUAUUCUGGAUUAGUGCCUUUUGGACAGUAGACUGUUCUGUAAUUAAAAUGUAGUAUACUGCUUUUUUGUACAGUUUUGUUUUAAUAAAACUUUUUUUUAAUUUGUGUUUAUUUUAGUAUUGUACCUAUUAGAG
rnacentral:lncRNA from 1 species